CAUGAUUUACAUUCAUUUUAUAAAAAAAUACAAGUUUAUACUAUGAUAACCGUCAUGGUCCUCCAAGGAUAUGGGAAUAAAAAAUAUACAAGCAAUAAUUCAAUGAAAUUAAUAAAAACAAAAACUGUUUGGAAUUCUUUGGCUUUCGUCAUAAUCCCGCAUCUCCUAAACAUAGUCUUUGUAGAAGGAAACUGAAUAUUUGAAACACCUAUUAGUCAUUGAUUUUAUUCAAAUGCAAACUAGCAUUAUUUUGGUAAGGACUGGAACCCCAUCUUCACUGAUUAUGGCCUCCUCGGCUCGCAUUUAGUGACAACCUCAGCAAUCAGCGAGUUGCUAUUUUAAUUCAACUUGGUGCCCAGUUCAUGCCCAUUCAAAACAACAUUGCUUUAAAUUGAAAUAGCAAGAUGACAAUUCAUUAGAUUACAAAGUUGGAAAGCUUUCAUUACAAAUUAACUAGAACUUGUAAUUUCAUUACAUUAAACAAAUUCAUUACAAGAAAACUACAACUACAUUACAAACAACAAAACCCACAACAUGAAAGAAAAAAGUAAAAUCGAGUACUCCACUUUUUUCUUCGGUCUUUUAUUCUUCAAUGUCAUCUCCUCAAUUUUUUCCACAAGCUCUUGAUUUUUCUUUUCUACAAUAGCUUUGUCAUUUUUGGCAUUGACAAUAACAAUAGUCAGCUCGUUAAGUCUUUUAUUCAAAAUUUCUAUUUCAGAUUUCAAUUCAUUGUUUUCGCGAUAAUACUGAGCAAUUCUUGUGCCGGUGAUAUUGGUGGAUCAAUCCAUUCAAACGAUUCACAUGGUAUUGUUUUAUAAUUUGUGCAACUAACAAAUCGUCGCCCGUGAUUUAUUUUGGUCCUUGAAACCUUCACAGGUGAAGGAACUCCACAUUUGCAACUACGUGAUGAUCUCCCUGAUGAAUUUGUGCUCAUAACUGGUGAGAGCAAAUUAAUUAGGAUUAAUACGUCGCCAACAUAAAUUCAGUUAACUAAUUAGUCAAAGCAACAAUGUUAAUUAAUUAUAAUCAAACGGAUACAUGAAAAAAUCACAUCUUUAAGUGAAGGAGACCAAGAUUUGAUUUGUAUUAUAUACAAUGAAGAAUAUGAUAUUUGAAGAAUGCUACAAAAAGUACAUAACAAGUUUGAAGCACAAAUUACAGAUGAGUACUGCGAAGAGAAGUGAAAAUGUCAACGCCAACACUAGUUAUCCAAAAUUCAGUGUAAUCAUAUACAACCACCUAAAACUAUUUGAAAAAGAAUCAAGUUCCAUUUUAUGUUUACACAAUCCAAUAAUUUUAAGCCUCAAGUAUGCAGAAGUGACUAAAUGAACUUGAUAAUAACCAAACUGUUAUAUUAAGCCUGCAGCAGUAACAACAACAAUUUUUUGCAAAUGAUGUGACACGGGUCCAAAUCAGAGCGUAAAGACCAAAUCGGAGCUUAAAGACCAAAUCAAAAACAAACAUAUCUUCAAAUGAACUCUGAGAUCAGUUAUCCCACUCCUAUAUAUGAUGAACAUUGUUAACAAUAGAACUUAAAAGCUUGUUUCUUACCUCUAAUAAACUCCAUAGCUUCAUUCAAGAACAAUUUGCUUUAUCUAGUCAAUCACACUAAGAUGAGCCCACAAGAAAAGUGUAAUUUGGGCAUCACAUAAAAAUUACAUACUGAACACAUACUGAAUAGCGAAACUUCAAGAAAGAUUCAACUUGCUUGAUUCAACUUAUGCGAAAGGAAAAACAUAUUACAUACACAUACCUGGACGCGAUUCUCAGUGGAGAGAAGAGAGAAACUAGGGCACGGUCGCGAUUCUCAAAUCAAAUCUUGGUCUCCUUCACUUUUUAAUCUACGAUUCAGAGAGAAGCGACAAGAGAAAAGCUAGGGAUUUGACUCUGCUUGGAGUGUCUGCGAUUUUCUUGCCCUAACUCCUAAAUAGCGAAUCUCAGUGUCUCCUAAAUCGCGAUUCUCAGUGUCUCCUAUUACGCGAAUCUUAGAGAAGCAUUUGGAGAGAAGAGAAGUUAGGGCUUCCGAUUUGGAGAGAGGAGAGAAAGCAAAUGAAAGCCAGGGAUUUCGAUUUGGGUUUUUUAUCUCAGACGCGGAAGGAAGGCUUUGAAGAUACUCGUUUGUUAGCUUCUUAAAUAGUUAUGUUACUUAAGGAAUUUAUGUUACUUAAAA
rnacentral:lncRNA from 1 species